GCCGGGUGCAGUGGCAUGUGCCUGUUGUGCCAGCUACUAGGGAGGCUGGGUGGGCAGAUCAUUUGAGCCCAGGAGUUCUGGGCUGUAGUGUACUAUGCCAAUCGGGUGUCCGCACUAAGUUUGGCGUCAAUAUGGUGACCUUCUGGGAGCGGGGGACCACCAGGUUGCCUAAGGAGGGGUGAACCAGCCCAGGUCGGAAACAGAGCAGGUCAAAACUCCUGUGCUGAUCAAUAGUGGGAUCACGCCUGUGAACAGCCACUGCACUCCAGCCUGGGCAACAUAGUGAGACCCUGUCUCA
rnacentral:SRP_RNA from 1 species